AACCUGAGAAGUCUGUGCUCAAAGUCUGAAUAAAGUCAGAAUUGUAUUGAAGUGUUUAAGAUAAAUAAGGAGCAGAAAAAAGGCAAAAUUGUGUUUGGAAAACAUCAAGAGGGAAGACCACAUUUGGGGGACUACAGGAACCAAAAUACGGAGUUUGAAUGUUUUUCCUAAGCACAAUGGAACCUGUGGAAGAUUUUUAGCAGUAUUCGCAAAAAAGCUCUUACAAUAUUCCAUUCUGUGAGAAGUUUCGACCAAAAAGUGAGUGUAACUCUGAUAACACUUAUUUAUAGAGCAGUUGGCUUUGAUGAACAAUGAACUGUUACUUGAUUUUACUCUUGGUUCAAGGACAUCCACAAGUGCUGUCAAAUUGAAAGCACACAAGUCACCUUCCUAAAGAGAGAUGCUUAGGCUGAGAGUAUGCCCAGGAUGGAAAGAGGAGACAAACACACGAAGUACCCAAUAGCAUUGUCUUCAAAGGACAGGCUCUGAUAGCCGCUGGAGGUGGCAUUGAAGAUUUAAUUUGGAAAGAUGUCAAGAAAACAAAGGAUUUCUCUCUGACCUCCUUUCCCCAAUGGAAAAGAUGAUAUCACUUCGAAGUUUCUUCUAAAACAAAGAAUAACUUUUCAAAAGUUUCCUUUGAAAUUGGAGUCAGUAAAGCUGAACAAAAAUAUCAUAAACACACCUAAUCUUUGUCCACUUCCCAAGCCUGUCCCAAUUUCUGAUGAAUGCUACACUCAGAACCAUUUCUCAUAUAAAGAGAACAUUUGCUAUUUAUUGGAAAAAGUUCCAUUUUUUUGACAAUGUACUGUAAUUCCUUGGGAGUAGGCUCCUAAAUUGUCAAUCUUGGCAUAUGAAAAAUUCAAACGAAUUAACAAUAAAAUUGUUAUAUUAGUCUGUUCUCACACUGCUGUGAAGAAACAUCAGAGACUGGGUAACUUAGAAAGGAAAGAGGUUUACAUGACUCACAGUUCUGCGUUGCUGGGGAGGCCUCAGAAACUUACAAUAAUGGCAGAAGGCAAAACAGAAGCAGGCACCUUACUCACAGUGCAGCAGGAUGGAAUAAGUGCAAGCAAGGGAUACGCUGGAUGCUUAUAAAACCAUCAGAUCUCCUGAGAACUCACUCACUAUCAUGAGAACAGCAUGGGGGAACCGCCACCAUCAUCCAAUUACCUCCACCUGUUCCCGCCCUUGACACAUGGAGAUUAUGGGGAUUACAAAUCAAGGUGGUGAAGAAAUGACAUAUGACAAAGCACAACAGAAAAUAUUCCUGAGGGUAAGCCAUGGCGUUUCAUCAAUUAACAAUAAAGGAAGAAAGCAGGCCUAAAGCCUAUGAUGGAAAAAGAAAAUGGCAGAAGAGAUUGUGAACUUAAGUAAAGUAUUGUAGGUUCAGGAGUACAUGUGCAGAAUGUGCAGUGUUGUUACAUAGAUAAAUGUGUGUCAUGAUGGUUUGCUGCACGGAUCAUCUCAUCACCCAGGUAUUAAGCCCAGCAUCCAUUAGCUAUUCUUUCUUAUGCUCUCCCUUCUAAAAAGUGUUCUACCCUUCACCUUAAAAAAUGCCCCAGUGUGUGUUCUCCACCCCCAUCAUGUGUGCAUGUGUUCUCAUAAUUCAGCUCCCACUUAUAAGAGAGAGCAUGCAGCAUUUGGUUUUCUUUUCCUGCAUUAAUUUGCUGAUAAUAAUGGCUUCCAUGACCUUGCAAAGGACAUGAUUUUGUUCCUUUUUAUGGCUGCAUAGUAUGUAUAUGUACCACAUUUCCUUUAUCCAGUCUAUCAUUUGAUGGGCAUUUAGGUUGAUUCCAUCUCUUUGCAAUUGUGAAGAGUGCUGCAAUAAAUAUACACAUGCAUGUAUCUUUAUAAUAAAAAGAUUUAUAUUCCUUUGGUUAUAUAUCCAGUAAUUGGGAUUGCUGGGUCGAAUCGUAUUUCUGCCUCUAGGUCUUUGAGGAAUGGCCACACUGUCUUCUACAAUGGUUGAGCUAAUUUACACUCCCACCAAUAGUGCAUAAGUAUUCCCUUUUCUCGGCAACCUCACCAUCAUCUGCUAUUAUUUUUUUUGACUUUUUAGUAAUAGCCAUUCUAACUGGUGUUAGAUGGUAUCUGAUUAUGGUUUUGAUUUGCAUUUCACUAAUAAUCAGUGAUGUUGAGCUUUUCUUCAUGUAUUUGCUGGCCACAUGUAUGUCCUCUUUUGAGAAGUGUCUGUUCAUGUCCUUUGCCCACUUUUUAAUGUGGUUGUUUGGUGGUUUUUUUCUUGUAAAUUGUUUAAGCUUCAUGUAGAUGCUGGAUAUUAGACCUUUAUCAGGUGGAUAGAGUGCAAAAAUUUUCUUCCGCUCUUUACAUUGUCUGUUUCCUCUGUUGAUAGUUUCUUUUGCUGUGCAGAAACUCUUUUGUUUAAUUAAAUCCCAUUUGUCAAUUUUUGCUUUUGUUCCAAUUGCUUUUGGCAUCUUCGUCAUGAAAUCUUUGCCUGUGCCUAUAUCCUGAAUAGAAUUGCCUUUGUUUUCUUAUAGGGUUUUUAUAGUUUUGGGUUUUACAUUGAAGUCUUUAAACCAUAUUGAGUUAAUUUCUGUAUAAGUUGUAAGGAAUGGGUCCUGUUUCAAUUUUCUGCAUAUAGCUAGGCAGUUCUUUCUGUACCAUUUAUUAAACAGGGAAUCUUUUCCCCAUUGCUUGUUUUUGUCAGAUUUGUCAAAGAUCAGAUGGUUGUCAGUGUGUAGUCUUAUUUCUGCGUUCUCUAUUCUGUUCCAUUGAUCUGUGUGUCUGUUCUUGUACCAGUAUCAUGCUGUUUUGAUUACUGUAGCCCUGUAGUAUAGUUUGAAUUCAGAUAGCAUGAUGCCUUCAGCUUCGUUCUUUUUGCUUAGAAUAGCCUUGGCUAUUUGGGCUCUUUUUUUGUUUUCAUAGGUAUUAUAAAACAGUUUUUUCUAAUUCUAUGAGGAAUGUCAAUGGUAGUUUAACAGGAACAGCACUGAAUCUAUAAAUUACUUCAGGCAGUAUGGCCAUUUUCACAAUAUUGAUUCUUCCUAUUCAUGAACGUGAACUUUUUUGUGUUUACUUUUGUCAUCCCUGACUCCUCUGAGCAGAGCUUUGUAGUUACCUUGUAGAGAUAUUUCACAUCCUUUGUUAGCUGUAUUCCUAUGUGUUUUAUUCUGUUUGUGAUGAUUGUGAUUGGGAGUUCAUUUGUGAUUUGACUCUCAACUUGACUCUUGUUGGUGUACAGGAAUGCUAACAAUGUUUGC
rnacentral:lncRNA from 1 species